rnacentral:ncRNA from 2 species
UAAGCGCGAUGAUGAUGGGGAAACCUUAGUCUAGCUUAGAUGGUUCGAUAUCAUC